GAUGAAGAACGUAGCGAAAUGCGAUAAGUAAUGUGAAUUGCAGAAUUCAGUGAACCAUCGAAUCUUUGAACGCGCAUUGCGCCCGGCAGUAAUCUGCCGGGCAUGCCUGUCCGAGCGUCAUUUCUACCCUCGAGCGAGUCCAGCAUCUAGGUGCUGGGCCUCGCCCGGCGUUGGAGCACUACGGGAAGCCCUGUGCUGUCCCCCGUAGGCCCCGAAAUGAAGUGGCGGUCCUGCCGCGGCGCCCCCUGCGUAGCAUAACAGCUCGCUUCGGGACCCGGUGGAGGCCUGCCGUCAAACCUAUACUCUCUAAGUUUGACCUCGGAUCAGGUAGGGUUACCCGCUGAACUUAAGCAUAUCAAUAAGCGGAGGA
rnacentral:misc_RNA from 1 species